CUUUUAAAUUCUGCCACAGAAGAUAGCUGAUACUCGAUGUUAUCUUUUGCGGGGGAAUUUCCAAG
rnacentral:pre_miRNA from 14 species